AANNCUCUAAUAGUUUACCAAAAACAUUGGCCUUGUAAACCAAAGAACGAAGGUUCACCCUUCUUAGAGUU
rnacentral:tRNA from 1 species